AGGAAUAUUGGUCAAUGGACGAGAGUCUGAACCAGCCAAGUAGCGUGAAGGAUGACUGCCCUAUGGGUUGUAAACUUCUUUUAUAUGGGAAUAAAAUGAGUUACGUGUAGCUUUUUGUAUGUACCAUAUGAAUAAGGAUCGGCUAACUCCGUGCCAGCAGCCGCGGUAAUACGGAGGAUCCGAGCGUUAUCCGGAUUUAUUGGGUUUAAAGGGUGCGUAGGCGGUCCGGAAAGUCAGCGGUAAAAGCCCGGGGCUCAACCCCGGCGAGCCGUUGAAACUGUCGGACUAGAGACGGCGAGAAGUACGCGGAAUGCGCGGUGUAGCGGUGAAAUGCAUAGAUAUCGCGCAGAACUCCGAUUGCGAAGGCAGCGUACCGGCGCCGGCCUGACGCUGAGGCACGAAAGCGUGGGUAUCGAACAG
rnacentral:rRNA from 1 species